AGCGCGGCGCAGCAGCCCGCCAUGGCCGCGCCGCCCGCUCCCAGUCCCCUAGUCGGUCUGGGUCCCAGUCCCCGCUCGGAGCCCCGCCCAGUCCGCCUGGCCUGCUGGCGGCGCCGUCAUCGCGGAGGAGGGCCCGGAAGGAGGCAGCACGGGCGGUCGGGGCCCGGGGCCCGGGGGAGGGCGCCACCUCCCCGUCGGGAACGAUGACCCUCUAGGGGGCAUGGAACUCGCGGGGGGGGAGUGGCCUCGCCCUUGAGGACGAAAGGCUCCUUCAAAAGGCGGGCGAGGGGCCGGGGGCGGUGGCUCACACCUGUCAUCCCAGCACUUGCGGAGGCCGAGGUGACUGGAACUGAUUUGACAUAACCAUCGUAUGCAUGGAGAAGCUGAGAACAGUAAUCUGCAGAAGCAAAAGUAUGAAACAGCCGGGCAAAGAUGCACAGAGGUGAGGACACUGAAACUCAGAGAGGUUAAGCCAUUUUCCCAAGGACACACAGCAAAAUGGUGUUAGAGCUAGGAAUUGAAUCCAGGUCUUUCUAACUAUUCUCUGCUGAAAUACAUCAGCCCUUGUGGCUUCUGAGAUUUAACAUUGUGACUUUGUGUAUUGAAGCGAAGCAUCAAUACAAGGGACCACCAAAUCUGUAUGUCAUUGGGUCAAAGCAUCGUAGAACCACAGAUGUGAAAGAACUGCGGAGAGGACGUUCUCCAGGAGGGACAUCAUUAACUCAACCCGGGCGAGAGACUAGGCUUUGACCAGGCUUUCCAACCCACGCAGCUUCAGCUUCCAUCAAGCCCAUCCUAACCACAACGAACACAAGGCAAGGCAAACAAGCAAAACAUAAUAAAGAUCAGAGAGAACACAGAAAGACUGUGGAUUCUGCU
rnacentral:lncRNA from 10 species